UUUGCGAACCAAAAGUAGCUUCAGUUCGUUUCAAGCUAAUUUUGAUUCGUAUUUUCAUAUUUAAAACUCCGCGUGCUUCUGUUUCGCGUUAGUGGACAAGUUGGCAAAUUCGAUUUUCUAUGAAUCGUUGUGAAGUCUCAAAUCAGUAAACCUUUUCCUGAGGUAAAGAAAGAACCCCCCCCCCCCAAAAAAAAAAAAAAAAACUGCUUAAUGUUCCAGAUUUGAACUUCAUUGCACAGAAGUGAGGGAAAAGUGCUUAUUUUCUUGCUGUUGUUUUGCAAUGAAUUCAAAUCCAUACUAAAUGCUGUAUUUGGCAUGUGGCCAUGGGAGCAGAAAUCAACAUUCAUUGUUACUCAGACUUUCUGCCCUUAAUUUUUAAAAUGACUUGAAAUGGAAGCCCAAUUAACUUUUUCACCAUUUAAUUCAUGAAAAUCUUAAACAUUAUUAUGAAUUGUUUAAUUGAUAUGUAUAUGUAACCACAGAUAAAUUUUGACAUUUCUGCCUGUUUAGGUUUUUUUUUUUUUUUUUUUUUUUUAAGCCUUUGAAAUGAUUUUUAUUGCUUUCCAUAACACUGAUGUUUUAAAGAUAUAUUCUAGAUUGUGUUUUAAGUUACCACUGAAAAUUGUAUUAAAAAUUAAUCUAUUUUAGAAAUGAUUUUGAUAUUGGAGAUAUUAUAUUUCUUUUUUCUAAGUCUUGAGUUUCUGUAUUCAGUGACCCUUGAGUAGGUAUUCUUAAAUAUGGGGAAUUGUUCACACAGAUUGCAAUCUGCGUGAACAAUUUCCCAUGUUAAACAGUUCUUGCUCAGGGAUCAAAAAUUACUUUUUUAUUAUAAUUACUUUUUAAUUACUUUUUUCAUUAUAAUUGUAUAAAAAGUGUUUUUCUUUCUAUGCAUCAUAAUUUUAUUAAAAGGAAUUUUUUUUUAUUAUAUCUUUAUUAUUAUUUUUGCACAAAUUGUUUCUGAUUUGAAAGAAUUUUGAUACUUUCCUCCCUAAUGAAUGUUAUAUAAUUUAUUAUUUGUUCUAUAAACAUCUUACAGUCUUGUUAAUUCAUGUGCUGAUUUCUAAUAUGUAACAUCAAUCUUAUUUUAUGUUAAAAAUUGACUAAAAACAACUUUAUAACCUUAUAAAAAGCUGUUGUAAUGAUCAAAUAUCAAAUGAUAUUGUAUUUGUUAUUCUUGGUUUUUUUUAUAUUAUUAUUCUCAGUGUAUAAUUUAAAAGAUUUUAACUUCUGAGGUAGUGCGCCUGUAAAUGAGAUAUAAACAAAGUAUGAUAUCAUUCUGAAAAGCAGUCUGGUCAACAAAACAGAGUCAGAUAUAUAUAUGUCUGUGUUUGGAAAUUUAUAUAAAUAUGAUUAGUAAGAAAUGGAACAUGAGGGUUCUGUGGGUGUUUGAAAUAUCAAAGUGAAUGUUGUGUGCAUGUAUUUUACUUUGUUUAUACAUAGCUUUCUUGUUGGAAGAAGAGAAAUUUUGACUGAAAAAAAAAUAACUUCCGUUGCUUCUUUGUUUUAUGAAUCAAAAUCAUGUUUUAUUUUUGGUUACUAGUUGAUACACAUCAAACAUUUCUCAAUCACUGAAACUUAAUAUGCAUUGUAUAGAACAAAAUAUGUAUUUCUAAUUUAAAUAUAAAAAGGUAAUUGUAAAAAAAAAAAAAAAAAUUGUUCUAAAAUGGAACUUGUUUGUUAUGGCCUGUAAUAAAUCUAGGGUUUUUUUUAAAAAAAAUCUAAAUACAUUAUUUACAGAUUUCUUUUAUUUGCUUUUGCUUGUUUCUGAAAUAAAAAUCAGAUUAAAAAAUUUUUUAAAUGAAAUAAAAUAAAUGUGAGUGUUUUCAUUUGAAGUAUGGAAAAUGCAUGUUGAAUUGAAAAUGACAGUAAAUGAUGCAGUGAUAUUUUUAAAGUAUUAAUGCUUGAUAAUUAAUAUAUACUUUAAUUUCUCUUGUAAUUGGUUUUUAAUCAUCUGGUUUGACAUUUUUUUUUUUUUUUUGUUUAAAAUCUGUUUGAUUAUACAUGCAUCUAAGAGUAUU